rnacentral:misc_RNA from 1 species
GCAAUUGAGUUACAAUUGUUGUAAACAAAAUAUGUUUUUUACAAUAGUAUAUAUCAUUUGUAUGUUGCAUGAAAUAAUAGGAAUUAAAAUUUUAAAAUUGCUGAGUUUACACCCUUAGUGCUAUUUUUCUCUCAAUCUCCGCUGCUUAUCUUCUCUGUUACUCAUCUAUCAAUCGGUGACCCACCACCUAUGCUACUAUGAACUGCAUGUCUUUGAUUAUCUGGCAAGCCUUUACCCUUCUCAACCACAUUAUUUGAUAACAAAGGAAACUCAGAGCAAUGGCGAGCGAAGAAGAGAAAACUCUAAAGAAUUAGUUAUGCUUCAAUUACAAGAGAAGAAUGGUUAAAGACAGUGAGAAGGAUGAUAAAUGGAUGUCGACAAUGUGGAGGACCGACCGGACUAUGCCUUUGAAAAUG